rnacentral:rRNA from 1 species
UAGGGAAUCUUCGGCAAUGGGGGGAACCCUGACCGAGCAACGCCGCGUGAGUGAAGAAGGUUUUCGGAUCGUAAAGCUCUGUUGUUAAGGAAGAACGAGUGUGAGAAUGGAAAGUUCAUGCUGUGACGGUACUUAACCAGAAAGGGACGGCUAACUACGUGCCAGCAGCCGCGGUAAUACGUAGGUCCCGAGCGUUGUCAGGAUUUAUUGGGCGUAAAGGGUUCGCAGGCGGAAAUGCAAGUCAGGUGUAAAAGGCAGUAGCUUAACUACUGUAAGCAUUUGAAACUGCAUAUCUUGAGAAGAGUAGAGGUAAGUGGAAUUUUGAGUGGAGCGGUGAAAAGCGUAGAUAUAUGGAGGAACACCGGUGGCGAAAGCAGCUCUCUGGUCUGUAACUGACGCUGGGGCUCGAAAGCGUGGGGAGCGAACAGA